rnacentral:rRNA from 1 species
GACGUAGGAUGCGAGCGUUGUCCGGAUUUAUUGGGCGUAAAGAGCUCGUAGGCGGUCUGUUACGUCCGCUGUGAAAACCCAGGGCUUAACCCUGGGCUUGCAGUGGAUACGGGCAGACUAGAGGCAGGUAGGGGAGAAUGGAAUUCCCGGUGUAGCGGUGAAAUGCGCAGAUAUCGGGAGGAACACCGGUGGCGAAGGCGGUUCUCUGGGCCUGACCUGACGCUGAGGAGCGAAAGCGUGGGGAGCGAACAGG